GGUUACAGCUUUGAGAGUCUAUUUACACUCUUCCUCUCUUCUUUGUUUUUGUCUACAUGGGUUUUAUGGUCUCAAAUAAAUUUCGGCGACCUCCACCCAUCGUGGUACCAUCCUGGUGCUCCAGAACCGAUGAACGACGGUGCAGCAAGUAAAAAACGUGGGAAAAGGGAAUAAUGAUGCUACAGCUUUGGAAGCCUGAUUUCCCGUGAUUCCCGCAUCCGAUUGGUGAGCUUUCGAUGCCGCUCGAAUCCUUUCUCCAUGGGUUUUCGUUCCUCAUCACCCAUGCCUGCAAUCGGCUGCGAUGGGAGAGAUAUCUGAUUGGUGAUCUCUCGGCGGCGCUCGAAGUGGAGCUGGUAUUGUCAGAAGGAACCACCAUGCUUGCAACCGGGUGUGAUGGAGGAGAUCUACAAUUGGUUGUAAGGGCCGAAAAUGAAUAGCACGAUGAAUGUGAGUUGGUGGUUUUGUGGGCUGGUAAUCGGUAUCGGCAGUCUUCUUCCUUCCAGCCUAGCCAAUAUUAGUAGGAUCAAUAAAUUUUGAGUUGAAUAUUAAUUAUUUUUAUAUAUUCAAUAUUAUUUAUAUUUAUGCAGCAUAUUCAUGCAUCACUUAUAUACCUAAUUAAUAUAUCAGGCGCAUCUUUUUUUUUUUAAAUUAUUUAUUUUGUAUUGUGUCACCUUGGAGAUAAGACGCAUAUCUCACAGACUUCUACUAAUAUAGAUAGGCGGGAUAGGUAAGGCACUAUAUUUCGCUGACUCUCACUCACUACUGCGGAGUAGGUACGACGUUGUAUUUCACCGACUCUCACAUAAUGGUCACUAAAAAAAAUGAUAAAAUUUAUCGAUUAAAUUAUAGAAAAAGUGGUUGGUAAAGUAAAUUAUUGACUACCUUACCGACCAUUUGAAAUGGAUGGUUUCUCCAAUUUGGAUUGUAAUUUUUGGACUAUGGAUUGUUUUGUUGCACCUUUGGUUACCCACAUAAUUAGCUUGUUCAACUUGCAAAAGAGAAUAGUCCAUUAGGCAUUCAUUGGAGUCAUGGAUGUCAACAUAAUUCACACGCACCUACACCACAAAUUAAUAAAGUUAGUGGUAAAUUUAUCCAAUAUUCUAGUUAUGAUAUUUACCCAAGCUUACAAUGCAUAAACAGUGUCAAUCUCACACACUCGUGCAGUCCUCUUGGGUGGAAUCCUUUUUAUAAGAAACUCAAAAUUUGUAGUUGCCGAUUCAUCUAAUAAGUCAUAAAUAUCUUCUAAUUCUAUUUUUAUGAACAAUCCUCUUAUUGCAUUAUCCAUAAUAUUUAUUGUAUUGGUAUUGAGUCUAUAGAAGAAUUUCUCUAAACCAACCAAUUGGGUAAUCCAUAAUGAGGAUACAUUCUGAGCAUAUCUUUUAUUCUCUCACCGGCUUCGUAAAGUGGCUCUAAAUCUAUCUGCAAAAAGUGAUAGAUGUCAUUCUUCAUCUUAACGGUUUUUGCUUGUAGAAAAAAUCUUGCUAAAUUUGCUUUAUCCUUCAGUAUAAAAAGGAAUAGUCUAAAUCUGCUAACUUCAUCUAACACGCCAUUCUACAUAUAAUUAUUACAAAGCUUCAUAAACUAAUAAAUAUGUGUAUGUAGAUCUUUAGUAGGAGGUCCACUAAAUUGAAGUGUGUUUUAAAACAUAUGUACUAAUGAAGAUUUAAGCACAAAAUUGUUAGCUUGCACUCUAGACCAAAUAACGCUUGUGACAAUUUGAUUGAUUUAAUUUGACUAAUAUCGAGAUUGACAUAAUAUCAAAGAGAUUUGCGGUUUUAUGAUCUAACCCAUCACCACCUAUUGGAUUGUCAAACUGUUUUAUUAUUAUUGUUUUCAUUACCCGCUCAAACAAUUACUGUCUUCAGCCAAUCUUUGAUUAACUUUCAAUUUAGUUUCUAUUGAAAUAGUACACUUGCUUUCUCUUACUUUUUCUAUACCGACAAUAAUGCACUUAUUAGGUUGUACAGUAAAGGUUUAGCAACACCUUUUAUCAUACAUAAUAGAAUUUAUUAUUUUGAUAUUAAUUGUUGUCUGUCCUAUCAACAACGUCAAAAACUUAAAGAUAUAAUAUCUGUAAGUGUAUGAAAUCAUCCCAAAUAAUAAAAUAAUGAGUCGAGUAUCAUAUUCACAUGGACUGAAAAUAAGUACUAAAAUGUAUAUAAAUCUAUAUUAUUUAGACUACAAAUAAUGAUGAUGGUAAAAUUGAAAUAAAAUAAAAUAAUAAAAUUUAAUGACUUAACAAAUAGAAUUCACAAAAACAAUUAAUAUUAAGCACUAGGAUAUUUUGAUUUUACUUGGACCUGAUUCAAUUAAUCUAUUUGGUUAGCAAUUCAAUUUUAGUUACUAAAAUUAGAGCAAAUAAUCCUAAAGUAAUUGAUCAUCUCUUCCAAAUAAUACCAAAUUAAUUAACUAAAUAUCUAUCUGCUCAUAAUCUAAUAACUCUCUAAUUAAUUUUUCAAACACUAUUAUUAUUUUUCAAGGCUCCACAAGUUAAAUUUUUAUUUCCAAUCUAAUUAAUAUUAUUAGAAUAUUCAAUUCUUUUUUAUCUUAAAGUAUUCAUUUCCAAAUAGUAGUCUAAAUGACAAGAAAAUAUUCGUCCUUGGAUCUUUAACUAUAAUGACAAGAAAAGAAUCGACAUACAUAGCAUUCUCUUUGAAUUCAACGUUUCGCGAAUGAAGCAUUAAAUUUUCACAUCUCUCCUCUUUUUUUUUUUUUUUUAAAU